rnacentral:rRNA from 1 species
GAGCGGCGGACGGGUGAGUAACGCGUGGGUAACCUGCCCUGUACACACGGAUAACAUACCGAAAGGUAUGCUAAUACGGGAUAACAUAUAAGAGUCGCAUGACUUUUAUAUCAAAGAUUUUUCGGUACAGGAUGGACCCGCGUCUGAUUAGCUUGUUGGCGGGGUAACGGCCCACCAAGGCGACGAUCAGUAGCCGACCUGAGAGGGUGAUCGGCCACAUUGGAACUGAGACACGGUCCAAACUCCUACGGGAGGCAGCAGUGAGGAAUAUUGGUCAAUGGACGAGAGUCUGAACCAGCCAAGUAGCGUGAAGGAUGAAGGUUCUAUGGAUUGUAAACUUCUUUUAUACGGGAAUAAACGGAUCCACGUGUGGAUUUUUGCAUGUACCGUAUGAAUAAGGAUCGGCUAACUCCGUGCCAGCAGCCGCGGUAAUACGGAGGAUCCGAGCGUUAUCCGGAUUUAUUGGGUUUAAAGGGAGCGUAGAUGGGUUGUUAAGUCAGUUGUGAAAGUUUGCGGCUCAACCGUAAAAUUGCAAUUGAUACUGGCAGUCUUGAGUACAGUUGAGGUAGGCGGAAUUCGUGGUGUAGCGGUGAAAUGCUUAGAUAUCACGAAGAACUCCGAUUGCGAAGGCAGCUUACUAACCUGUAACUGACAUUGAUGCUCGAAAGUGUGGGUAUCAAACAGGAUUAGAUACCCUGGUAGUCCACACGGUAAACGAUGAAUACUCGCUGUAGGCGAUAUACAGUCUGCGGCCAAGCGAAAGCAUUAAGUAUUCCACCUGGGGAGUACGCCGGCAACGGUGAAACUCAAAGGAAUUGACGGGGGCCCGCACAAGCGGAGGAACAUGUGGUUUAAUUCGAUGAUACGCGAGGAACCUUACCCGGGCUUAAAUUGCAACCGAAUAUGGCGGAAACGCUAUAGCUAGCAAUAGCGGUUGUGAAGGUGCUGCAUGGUUGUCGUCAGCUCGUGCCGUGAGGUGUCGGCUUAAGUGCCAUAACGAGCGCAACCCUUGCCGAUAGUUACUAACAGGUUAUGCUGAGGACUCUGUCGGGACUGCCAUCGUAAGAUGUGAGGAAGGUGGGGAUGACGUCAAAUCAGCACGGCCCUUACGUCCGGGGCUACACACGUGUUACAAUGGGGGGUACAGAGGGCUGCUACCACGCAAGUGGAUGCCAAUCCCAAAAACCUCUCUCAGUUCGGAUUGAAGUCUGCAACCCGACUUCAUGAAGCUGGAUUCGCUAGUAAUCGCGCAUCAGCCACGGCGCGGUGAAUACGUUCCCGGGCCUUGCACACACCGCCCGUCAAG